UCCUGGUGGCGAGUGGCGAACGGGUGAGUAAUAUAUCGGAACGUACCUUUCAGUGGGGGAUAACGUAGCGAAAGUUACGCUAAUACCGCAUAUUCUGUGAGCAGGAAAGCAGGGGAUCGCAAGACCUUGCGCUGAUUGAGCGGCCGAUAUCAGAUUAGCUAGUUGGUGAGGUAAAGGCUCACCAAGGCGACGAUCUGUAGCGGGUCUGAGAGGAUGAUCCGCCACACUGGAACUGAGACACGGUCCAGACUACGGGAGGCAGCAGUGGGGAAUUUUGGACAAUGGGGGCAACCCUGAUCCAGCCAUGCCGCGUGAGUGAAGAAGGCCUUCGGGUCGUAAAGCUCUUUCAGCCGGGAAGAAAACGCAUGGGUUAAUACCCUGUGUGGAUGACGGUACCGGAAUAAGAAGCACCGGCUAACUACGUGCCAGCAGCCGCGGUAAUACGUAGGGUGCGAGCGUUAAUCGGAAUUACUGGGCGUAAAGCGUGCGCAGGCGGUUUGUUAAGAUAGGCGUGAAAUCCCCGGGCUCAACCUGGGAACUGCGUUUAUGACUGGCAGGCUAGAGUAUGGCAGAGGGGGGUGGAAUCCCACGUGUAGCAGUGAAAUGCGUAGAGAUGUGGAGGAACACCGAUGGCGAAGGCAGCCCCCUGGGCCAAUACUGACGCUCAUGCACGAAAGCGUGGGUAGCAAACAGGAUUAGAUACCCUGGUAGUCCACGCCCUAAACGAUGUCAACUAGGUGUUGGGUGGGUAAAACCAUUUAGUACCGGAGCUAACGCGUGAAGUUGACCGCCUGGGGAGUACGGCCGCAAGGUUAAAACUCAAAGGAAUUGACGGGGACCCGCACAAGCGGUGGAUGAUGUGGAUUAAUUCGAUGCAACGCGAAAAACCUACCUACCCUUGACAUGUCCGGAAGCCCUUAGAGAUUUGGGUGUGCUCGAAAGAGAGCCGGAACACAGGUGCUGCAUGGCUGUCGUCAGCUCGUGUCGUGAGAUGUUGGGUUAAGUCCCGCAACGAGCGCAACCCUUGUCGUUAAUUGCCAUCAUUUAGUUGGGCACUUUAACGAGACUGCCGGUGACAAACCGGAGGAAGGUGGGGAUGACGUCAAGUCCUCAUGGCCCUUAUGGGUAGGGCUUCACACGUCAUACAAUGGUCGGUACAAAGGGUCGCCAACCCGCGAGGGGGAGCCAAUCCCAGAAAGCCGAUCGUAGUCCGGAUCGUAGGCUGCAACUCGCCUGCGUGAAGUCGGAAUCGCUAGUAAUCGUGGAUCAGCAUGUCACGGUGAAUACGUUCCCGGGUCUUGUACACACCGCCCGUCACACCAUGGGAGCGGGUUCCGCCAGAAGUAGGUAGCCUAACCGCAAGGGGGGCGCUUACCACGGCGGGGUUCGUGACUGGGGUGAAGUCGUAACAAGGUA
rnacentral:rRNA from 1 species